UACGUAGGGGUCUAGCGUUGUCCGGAAUUACUGGGCGUAAAGGAUGCGUAGGCGGACAUUUAAGUCAGAUGUGAAAUACCCGAGCUUAACUUGGGUGCUGCAUUUGAAACUGGGUGUCUAGAGUGCAGGAGAGGUAAGUGGAAUUCCUAGUGUAGCGGUGAAAUGCGUAGAGAUUAGGAAGAACACCAGUGGCGAAGGCGACUUACUGGACUGUAACUGACGCUGAGGCAUGAAAGCGUGGGGAGCAAACAGG
rnacentral:rRNA from 1 species